rnacentral:rRNA from 1 species
CCUACGGGUGGCAGCAGUGGGGAAUAUUGCACAAUGGGCGCAAGCCUGAUGCAGCCAUGCCGCGUGUGUGAAGAAGGCCUUCGGGUUGUAAAGCACUUUCAGCGGGGAGGAUGGCGGUGAGGUUAAUAACCUCAUCGACUGACGUUACCCGCAGAAGAAGCACCGGCUAACUCCGUGCCAGCAGCCGCGGUAAUACGGAGGGUGCAAGCGUUAAUCGGAAUUACUGGGCGUAAAGCGCACGCAGGCGGUCUGUCAAGUCGGAUGUGAAAUCCCCGGGCUCAACCUGGGAACUGCAUUCGAAACUGGCAGGCUAGAGUCUUGUAGAGGGGGGUAGAAUUCCAGGUGUAGCGGUGAAAUGCGUAGAGAUCUGGAGGAAUACCGGUGGCGAAGGCGGCCCCCUGGACAAAGACUGACGCUCAGGUGCGAGAGCGUGGGGAGCAAACAGGAUUAGAUACCCGAGUAGUC